GACGAACGCUGGCGGCGUGCUUUACACAUGCAAGUCGAACGGAAAGGCUCCAGCUUGCUGGAGUACUCGAGUGGCGAACGGGUGAGUAACACGUGGGUGAUCUGCCCUGCACUUCGGGAUAAGCCUGGGAAACUGGGUCUAAUACCGGAUAGGACCGCACUUUGGUGUGUGUGGUGGAAAGGUUUUUUCUGGUGUGGGAUGAGCUCGCGGCCUAUCAGUUUGUUGGUGGGGUAAUGGCCUACCAAGACGGCGACGGGUAGCCGGCCUGAGAGGGUGGACGGUCACAUUGGGACUGAGAUACGGCCCAGACUCCUACGGGAGGCAGCAGUGGGGAAUAUUGCACAAUGGGGGAAACCCUGAUGCAGCGACGCCGCGUGGGGGAGGAAGGCCUUCGGGUUGUAAACUCCUUUCGCUAGGGACGAAGCUUUUUGUGACGGUACCUGGAGAAGAAGCACCGGCUAACUACGUG
rnacentral:rRNA from 1 species